rnacentral:rRNA from 1 species
GUUGAACGCUGGCGGCAGGCCUAACACAUGCAAGUCGAACGAGUGGCGGACGGGUGAGUGAUGCCUGGGAAACAGCCUGAUGGAGGGGGGUAACUACUGGUAACGGUAGCUAAUACCGCAUAUCAUCAGCAGUGCUCAGGUUGGAUGAGCUUGUUGGUGGGGUAACGGAUCAGCAAGGCGACGCUCCGUAGCUGGGCUGAUAGGAGGACCAGCCACACGGGAACUGAGACGCGGUCCAGACUCCUUCGGGAGGCAGCAGUGGGGAAUAGUGCACAAUGGGCGGAAGCCGGACGCAGCCAUGCCGCGUGUAGGAAGAAGGCCUUCGGGUUGUAAAGUACUUUCAGCGGGGUGGCGUUACCCGCAGAAUAAGCACCGGCUAACUCCGUGCCAGCCGCCGCGGUAAUAC